rnacentral:lncRNA from 1 species
GACCAAAGCGAGCUCAUAAACGCCAGAGGGAGGCGGGACACAACUGAGCCUGCGCAACCUCCAUCGCCACAAUCACGGACAUUCGCCUCGCGGGCUCGCCUCCUGCAGGCUUCCGAGCGCCACAGGGAGGCUCUGCGAGACUGAUCUAAGGACUGCUAAGUUCUUUACUUGCCUCCAUCCCCUCGCAGCACCAGCACCUUCACGCCCCCGGCCCACAGCUCCUAGUGUUUGCGUUCUGUCCCGUGCUGCUUUAGCCGCCAAAGCUCAGCGAUCUUCUCCCCACACCGGUCGAAGCAAUUUGUUAAUGUCACUAAAGUCUUGUAGUUACUUGGAUGUCCACAUCGUUCAGAUAGGUAACAAAUUACCGCGUGUCUUCAACUUUACUAUUACUUGUUUAAAAAUAGUUUGAUUUCGUUUUUGCUUAUCUAAUUGGCAAUGUGUUUUUAAAUAGGACUCAAUCCCCACGAGAACGGAGAUUUUUCUCAAAUACAUUUUUAGAGUGUCCUUUA